rnacentral:rRNA from 1 species
UACGGAGGGUGCGAGCGUUGUCCGGAAUCAUUGGGCGUAAAGGGCGCGUAGGUGGCCCGGUCAGUCUUUGGUGAAAGCGCGGGGCUCAACCCUGCGUCGGCCAGGGAUACUGCCGCGGCUCGAGCACUGUAGAGGCAGGCGGAAUUCCGGGUGUAGCGGUGGAAUGCGUAGAGAUCGGGAGGAACACCAGUGGCGAAGGCGGCUACCUGGACCAGCACUGACACUGAGGCACGAAAGCGUGGGGAGCAAACAGG